rnacentral:rRNA from 1 species
UACAGGGGGGGCAAGCGUUGUCCGGAUUUACUGGGCGUAAAGGGAGCGUAGGCGGACUUUUAAGUGAGAUGUGAAAUACUCAGGCUCAACCUGGGGGCUGCAUUUCAAACUGGAAGUCUAGAGUGCAGGAGAGGAGAGUGGAAUUCCUAGUGUAGCGGUGAAAUGCGUAGAGAUUAGGAAGAACACCAGUGGCGAAGGCGACUCUCUGGACUGUAACUGACGCUGAGGCUCGAAAGCGUGGGGAGCAAACAGG